GGGUGAUUUGUUGGACGCUAGCGGCGGAUGGGUGAGUAACACGUGGGCAAUCUGCCCUAAAGACUGGGAUACCACUUGGAAACAGGUGCUAAUACCGGAUAACAACAUGAAUCGCAUGAUUCAAGUUUGAAAGGCGGCGCAAGCUGUCACUUUAGGAUGAGCCCGCGGCGCAUUAGCUAGUUGGUGGGGUAAAGGCCUACCAAGGCAAUGAUGCGUAGCCGAGUUGAGAGACUGAUCGGCCACAUUGGGACUGAGACACGGCCCAAACUCCUACGGGAGGCAGCAGUAGGGAAUCUUCCACAAUGGACGCAAGUCUGAUGGAGCAACGCCGCGUGAGUGAAGAAGGUCUUCGGAUCGUAAAGCUCUGUUGUUGGUGAAGAAGGAUAGAGGCAGUAACUGGUCUUUAUUUGACGGUAAUCAACCAGAAAGUCACGGCUAACUACGUGCCAGCAGCCGCGGUAAUACGUAGGUGGCAAGCGUUGUCCGGAUUUAUUGGGCGUAAAGCGAGCGCAGGCGGAAUGAUAAGUCUGAUGUGAAAGCCCACGGCUCAACCGUGGAACUGCAUCGGAAACUGUCAUUCUUGAGUGCAGAAAAGGAGAGUGGAACUCCAUGUGUAGCGGUGGAAUGCGUAAAUAUAUGGAAGAACACCAGUGGCGAAGGCGGCUCUCUGGUCUGCAACUGACGCUG
rnacentral:rRNA from 1 species